rnacentral:tRNA from 1 species
UAUAUUUUAGUAUAUGAUGUACAGAAAUUUUUGGUAUUUCAGGAGAUAGUUUGAUUCUAUUAGAUAUA